rnacentral:lncRNA from 1 species
CUGGGGCACGAUCUGGAUCGAGUUUCUUCAUACUCUCACGACCCGGUUGUCGUAGAAGAUCCUCAACCAUAAAUUGGCCAUACGGUUCAGGCUGUAUCAGGCUGUGGCUGGUGCUGGUGCUACUGGUUCGGCUGGUGGUGGUGGAGGCGGUGCAGGCUGUGGUACAACGACCGGUUGCGAAACCGUACGUUGUGCUACCGUGGAC